CCUACGGGAGGCAGCAGUGAGGAAUAUUGGUCAAUGGGCGUAAGCCUGAACCAGCCAAGUCGCGUGAGGGAUGAAGGUUCUAUGGAUCGUAAACCUCUUUUAUAAGGGAAUAAAGUGUGGGACGUGUCCUGUUUUGUAUGUACCUUAUGAAUAAGGAUCGGCUAACUCCGUGCCAGCAGCCGCGGUAAUACGGAGGAUCCGAGCGUUAUCCGGAUUUAUUGGGUUUAAAGGGUGCGUAGGCGGCCUGUUAAGUCAGCGGUGAAAGUCUGUGGCUCAACCAUAGAAUGGCGGUUGAAACUGGGAGGCUUGAGUAUGUUUGCGGCAGGCGGAAUGCGUGGUGUAGCGGUGAAAGGCUUAGAUAUCACGCAGAACCCCGAUUGCGAAGGCAGCCUGCCAAGCCAUGACUGACGCUGAUGCACGAAAGCGUGUGGAUCAAACAGGAUUAGAUACCCGGGUAGUC
rnacentral:rRNA from 1 species